ACGCGGGCACGGUUCGCUGUCCCGGCUGCGGGCGGGGCGGCCGAGCUGGUGCUGGUUCCCUUGGCCUCGACAAGCAGGGGCAGUGGGAGGGAGAGACUCCCUCGUGGGGGUCUGUGUAUGUCUCUUGCGGACGUGGGUGACUCCUCGUACCACCGCUGAAAUAGGCGGCUCACGCUGAAUCCCGGUCUCAGUCCGCUUGGGAAAGACCCCUGAGAUCAUCGAGGCCAGCCGUGACGGAACACCAGCGGCACCCCGGCACUGAGUGCCCCAUCCAGGCUUUUUUAAACGCUUCCAGGAACCGUGACUCCUCCACCACCCUGGGCAGCCCAUUCCAGGCUCUGAUCGCGUAUUUUGUCCAACCUAAACUUCCCCUGGUGCAGCUCAAGACUAUCUCCUCUUCUCCUAUGGCAGAUUGCUUCAGAAAUGAGAUAGACUCUCCUUUGACCACAUCCUCCUUUCAGGUGUCACUGGGCCUGAUCUAUGACCUGUUGGCUGUGCCAGCCAUCAUAGGAGGCAGCAGUACCUCUUGAAAGAGAGACACAGAGCAACGUGACCCUUGGACCCCUUAAGCAGCCGUAAGAGUGGAGAACAGGAGAGCUGUGAGCCUGAGCAAGCGACGUGUCAAGUGUGUUAUUGGUGUGUCACGUGUGGAGUCCAUAGAAAGCUGGUCAACCACCAAAGAUCAAAAUCUCAACAGAACACAUACCUUGUAGUGUAAAAUAUAUGCAUUUUUAACAGCUCCAACUGGCUGUGGGGAGGUUUGGGCUGUGCUUUGGGUUCCGAACAGAGAGCAGCACUCAGAAGCCUGUGUAGUUCUCUGGACCCCAAUGUCUGCAGUAUAUUUUAGGAAUCUAGUGAAAAGAAAUCAAGAAGCACCAAGGAAUCCAAGGUUAAAUGUUUCACAGUGUUUUAUUUCUAAUUUUUUUUCAGUCUGGAUGCUGGAGAUGUUACUAAACUUUGCUUCAUUUCACAAGGAUCCCAUCUGGUAUCAAGGGCAGCACGUGAAUCAGGGUGAAGUUGAUGAAUAUAAGGCAGCCCUUCCUUUCAAAAAUGAUUCAAUGUAGUGGAUAAUGUCUAAGAUCCCCCAUUCUUAGGUAAAGGGAGUGGUACCCCAUGAUAAACAUAUCAGAAUAAAUAAAGAUUAGGAGUGUUUCCCAAGACUUCCUGACAAGGAGCCAAUGUACAGCAGUGUUGGCCUUGCCCAAAUGCUGAGCUUUGGGAAGAGCUUUCUUUCUCUGGACACAGGCCAGGCUGUAAAAGAGCAGAAGGACAUGUGAUGGCUCUAGGCAAACCUCAGGACAUCACAAGGAACUCCUGUGGCUCAGAUUCCUGUGACCCAUACCUGUGAGCAAAGCACGGUGCUCUGCAGAGCCCCAAUGAACAUUGUGCACAGGUACCAAAUGUCAGCAGUUGUGUACAAACUUCCAGAUACUAGCUCAUGUUCCUAAGAACUCCUCGUGCCAGAAGGCUAUAAUCCUGUUAAAAGCCUCUGGGAACUACUGCAAUGCAAAUAAUAGUAGCAAUAAUUAGCUCUGCUUUAAUUGAUACUGUGUAUUCCUCAAAUGUCAGUGAAAAUUUGCUUUGCUAAGCCAACAACUUCUCCCCUGGAACUCUGCUGUCUUUACCAGAAUUACACGAGGGGUGAGUUUGGAUCAUUGUAGGUUCCUGGCAUAAAUUAUCAGCUGUUGAUUCCUUGCCCUUUAAAACUUGGCAAGCAUACAAGAAGAGUUUGCCAGACAUGCAAGAACUAGGUCUAUGCAUUUAUGGGUAAAUCCUCUGGGACUAUGCACAGAAAGGAGUACAAUUUGCUAGAAGUAGCCAGCUGUGAAAUCUAGGAACUCCUGCACACAGCUCCAGCAACUUAGAGCAUAUUUAGCCUGGCAUCAAUACCAGCGGUUCCUGGAAGCAGUUUUUGCACCCUCAGCUUUAUGAAAGCAGAAUGUGAUAGCAAGAAACCCUGUAAAUGUGUGGAGAUGCUAAUUUUAUAGAAAAAUCCUAAUGGGGGUGAUUUGGAGGGGCAUAGUCUAGAAUUGGUUUAUGGUUUAUCCCAGUGGCUAGGAGUUGUCUCUGCUUAACAUUGAGAGUGCAGGUCUGAGCACAUCAUUGGCAUAAAUUAGUAAAGAUAACACCUCCAAAGCUCUCAGCAUCUUCAGCGUGAACCAUGUCCUCAUCUGGACCUUACUGAGCACCUGAGAAUUUUAAUGUCCCCAUCCUUCCUGGACAGAUGUCUUGCCUUGUAGCACUGGUACAGCUCCAUGAUCAGAUGCUCCUUAGGGCUUCUUUCUAAGGGGAGGAUCAAUGUUCUCUGCCUCUGGUUGUGUAAAGGUCAGAGCUAAGCUCGUUGUGUAACCUCCUUCACCGAGUUACAUUAGGUGGGCUGAAUGGUGCCUCUUAGCUGUGUGGAGACCUCUCUUGGUCAAAGAGGAGGGAAAUAAAUCCCAGCCAGAGUCUCUAUUUUUACAGUACUGAACAAAAUUAGUGCCCUAGCAGAUCUCCAGUCCAACAUUUUCCACAUUUACUAGGGAAAGACUCCUGGCUUGGAGAGCUUCAGUUCAUUGUUACAGAACCAAGCCAUAUCUGUGUUUGCUGAGCCUAAUGGGUAAUGGGCUUAGACUAUAAUGGGGAGCUUCAAAGACUCAGAGAUACAAUGCACCUGAUUUUAUGGGUUUUCCAUAUGUACGAAAGUGUUGUUGCCAAACAGACUCAGGAACAAAUCACUCUAGCACAUUACUAAUAAGCCAAUUAGUGAAAUGAAGCAUUGCAAGUAAUAGACUGCUUUAUGCAAAUAUGUUUGUGUAGAAAACAGAAUCAUUUGAACUGGGUUUACAUUCAGGAAGACCUUGCCAGUAUGAUAUGUGGUGAUAGUUGCUAUAGCUGUUAUUGAUCAGUUUCUCUUUUCAUCCCGAUAUGUGUGGAUUCAAAUGUAACAAGUGAUGUGAGCCUUAAUGAACACAAAGAUGCUCAGGAUUUAGACCUUAUCAUGUGUUUUUUUCAGUAGCUACAUUUGGUCCACAGGUUUUGCAACACCUUCUAACAUUAACUUUGGUUAUACUAUUUUUCCAAUACAGUUCAUUAGCAGAACCAGUAUCUUAUUUGGUUCAAAAUCCACACAUAUUUUACAUUCAGCUAAAUUCCUUACAAGGAAGAAUGAUAGAAUUAGGGCUUAUGUAUCAAAUCAGUUUGAUUUGGGAACUUUAAUUUAUCUAGUUGAUCCAACAGAUUUAUUUAGCACAGCCUGUCCACGUUAAGCUGAGCACCCUUUUUGUAAUAAAUUCCUGGCAGCCCAGGAGCAGGUUAUGGAACAUGAGCCAUUACAGCGGGCUGAGGUACAGGGAACCUAUAGAGAUGCAUUAUCCAAUGCACAAGUUGAAGUGCUAUCUUGUAUAACAAAUUAUUGACUUCGUUGUACAUAGUACUAGGAUUUAAUUAAGCGAUAAGGCCCAUCAUAGUGGCCCUUUAUCUAGCAGAUAAGGAUUUACCAAGCUUACCCAAGAGGUCUUUAUCUGAAAGAUAAGAAAAAGGUACAUAAGGUGCCUUCUGCUUUUAAAUCUUUAAUUGAAAGACCUUAUUUUUUUAAGUUCUAGGUUGUUUUUUCUUCAUGACUUAGUAUUAAAGAUUCAGAUGGAUUUUUGUGAGGGAGGUUGUAGUAGGGAGGAAUGUUACCAGUCACCUUCACUGUGUGAAAUUAAUAGGAUUUAUGUCAUUUUUAUACACAUUUUUAUUCAUUUUUAUUCACAAUGUACCAGCUCUCAGAUGAAGUAGAAAUUCAGCCUCUGAUUUUUCCAGUGACUUCAUGAUCCCAUGGCCAUAAAAAAGAUUCAUUCAUUGACAAUUUCAGAGAGUUGUAAUUGUGAUUAGGUUGUGAAAUUUAGGAAAAUUUGUGAUUUCACAAUAGACAAAAAUGGAGGAAAAUAAUUUAAAGACAGUUCUUUUAACGACUGUGUUGUCAGCUAAGCUAAAUGAUGCCUAGUCCUUUACCUAUGUGAUGUAAAGAUAUGUAAGCAGAAAACAUAUAAAGAAAUUAAAGCUAAUACAAAGAACUGGCACUUAGAAUGAGCUUAGCACACUGGAAAAGACAAAAUAAUACUACUGCUAGUGCUCAGUAGAGAAAAACAGAGAGUAAAUUCCAAGGAAAGGAGAGAAAAGCAUAUGUUUUUUAUGAGAAAGGCACACAUAAGGGCCACUGCAUGGUUGAAAACAGGACAGGAUCUUUGGAUUUAGCUGAUUUAAUCCCCAAUGUUACAGACACUUUUUAAAUAGAAUCGUUUCAUAAAGGCUCAAGCUCUUUUUGGGAGUAGCUGGCUUGUUGCCUCCCCCUCCCAUGGAGGAAGGCUGUUGUGCAACAUCCGUACACUCAUAAUGACCUGGCAUCUUCCAGUUUACAGUAUGACUGUGUCCCUGGCCAGUCCAUACUUGUUUUUCCUUCCCUGCUGAUGCUAUGUUUUAGCCUAGUGAUAUUUCCUCCUUCCCAGUGUUUGUCAUUCCCAUCCUCACGUAAGCCCAGACAUCAGCCAGCCUUUACCACAGUACAUGGACAGAGCCCUCCUUGAGCCAUUCUGUCCUUGCUGGUCCAGAAGUGACAACCACCUAUUGACUCUGUGCUCCUUCUGGGACUGGGGACAUAUCAGACUCACUGUUAGUUCCACCUCAAGUUGCUUUGUGUAUGCUCUGUGAAAUUCUCCUGAAUUUCCAGGCAUCCAAGAACCUAAGCUGCCACAUACUGGAAAUUCAGUAGGUUACUGCCCAAAGCAGUUGUCUACCACAUAAAUUGAUAGCGUUGGCAGUUCUGCUUGUGAAAGACCCCCUGUUCCCCAGAUUGUUAAUCAUCCUGCUCUGCACCUGUUCCAGCUUGAAUUCUUCAUGCUUGAACAAGGGCAGUAAAGCAGAGUCUGAAGGGAUCAGAUUGUAUUAGAAGAGCUUGGAGCAAUUCAAGCCAGGACGGAGUAGCAAUUAUAAUGAGAGAUACCCUCCAGGUUACACGAGAGGCAAAUUGCCUCAGCGGUGAGCAGAAGUUUGUAGUGCUGCUUUGAGACUGUUUGUUCAGGAACCAGGGGAUUCCAUUUCUGUUGUUGACAAUAUGACACUUUUUAUGGGCAAUUGAUUCCCAUUCUUAAAAACUAUCUGGCACGGAGGCAAUAAGUGAGUGGAAAGGUGUGAAUUAAAAUAUGUACAUGGCUAAAGAUGAUCACUCGGGUACUUGCUUAGAUUUGAAAUUCCAGCUGCGAAGCUGGUAUUAUUCUCUGUUACUCCACCUGUCCUCCAGUAAUUGCCCCAUAAGCAAUUCUGCUGUGUCUUUUUUCUUAUUUAUUUGCAACUCUGAAAACUGUUUGAGCUUUCUGCUUCUGAGAAAACUCUAAGUAGGGUCCCUUCACUUUAAUAUACCCAACAUGGGGUUCCUUCACAUUGGUGUGACCUCCCAUGCCUGCAAGUCUUUGAAACAGGUUUUUGCUGCCUCAUAGUCCAGAGAAGCCAAUGAAGAUUCAUCCACUGGCUUCAGCAGAAUAACUUUCCCACCACACACUUCAUGUUUAUUUCACUCAGAAAAAGAUUUUGUCUGAGUGUUGCCCGCAGGCACUUCUGCUGUUCUCUUCUUCCCUGACAACAUGGGAACAAAUUCAACAGCCCUUCACUUACAUGUAUUUAAAAAUGAAAAUUAUUUUGCUGAGCACAUUUGAAUGGUAUCUUAUAAAAAGGGAUAUUUCUUCCUUGAAAUCACACUCCAGCAGGAGCUGCCCCAGUCAGCAAUGUGUGCUCUCUCUCCCUCUGUAGUUGUUCCAUUAAAGUAAUGUGAAAGCUA